UGUGGGAGCGAGCUUGCUCGCGAUAGCGAUAUGUCAGUCACAACAGUGGUGUCUGACACUCUGCAAUCGCGAGCAAGCUCGCUCCCACA
rnacentral:misc_RNA from 1 species